rnacentral:rRNA from 1 species
CGCCUACGGGGGGCAGCAGUGAGGAAUAUUGGUCAAUGGCCGGAAGGCUGAACCAGCCAAGCCGCGUGAAGGACGAAGGCUUUCGGGUUGUAAACUUCUUUUAAGGGGGAAGAGCAGGAGACGGUACCCCUUGAAUAAGCCACGGCUAACUACGUGCCAGCAGCCGCGGUAAUACGUAGGUGGCAAGCGUUGUCCGGAUUUACUGGGUGUAAAGGGCGUGCAGCCGGAGAGACAAGUCAGAUGUGAAAUCCGCAGGCUCAACCUGCGAACUGCAUUUGAAACUGUUUCCCUUGAGUAUCGGAGAG